rnacentral:rRNA from 1 species
UACGUAGGUGGCAAGCGAUACUCGGAAUCACUAGGCGUAAAGCGCAGGUAGGAGGUUUGGUAAGUCUAUUGUGAAAGCUCCCGGCUUAACUGGGAGAGGUCAAUGGAAACUACCAGGCUAGAGUGCGGUAGAGGUAGCUGGAAUUCCCGGUGUAGCGGUGAAAUGCGUAGAUAUCGGGAGGAAUACCUAUGGCGAAGGCAGGUCUCUGGGCUGACACUGACGCUCAUGCACGAAAGCGUGGGGAGCAAACAGG